rnacentral:rRNA from 1 species
AGCGUAGACGGCAAGGCAAGUCUGAUGUGAAAACCCAGGGCUUAACCCUGGGACUGCCAUUGGAAACUGUCUGGCUUGAGUGCCGGAGAGGUAAGCGGAAUUCCUAGUGUAGCGGUGAAAUACGUAGAUAUUAGGAAGAACACCAGUGGCGAAGGCGGCUUUCUGGACUGUAACUGACGCUGAGGCUCGAAAGCUAGGGUAGGCAACG